rnacentral:rRNA from 1 species
AGUGAACGCUGGCGGUAGGCCUAACACAUGCAAGUCGAACGGCAGCACAGUAAGAGCUUGCUCUUACGGGUGGCGAGUGGCGGACGGGUGAGGAAUACAUCGGAAUCUACUUUUUCGUGGGGGAUAACGUAGGGAAACUUACGCUAAUACCGCAUACGACCUACGGGUGAAAGCAGGGGAUCUUCGGACCUUGCGCGAUUGAAUGAGCCGAUGUCGGAUUAGCUAGUUGGCGGGGUAAAGGCCCACCAAGGCGACGAUCCGGAGCUGGUCUGAGAGGAUGAUCAGCCACACUGGAACUGAGACACGGUCCAGACUCCUACGGGAGGCAGCAGUGGGGAAUAUUGCACAAUGGGCGCAAGCCUGAUCCAGCCAUACCGCGUGGGUGAAGAAGGCCUUCGGGUUGUAAAGCCCUUUUGUUGGGAAAGAAAAGCAGCAGGUUAAUACCCCGCUGUUCUGACGGUACCCAAAGAAUAAGCACCGGCUAACUUCGUG